UUUUUUCUUGGAUAUUUGUGUGUAGUUUAAAGUUUAAUUUCAUGAAACAAAUUCAGUUUAAAAGUUACAAUUAGAAUUAAGGCUUGGGGUUGGGAUUAGGGUUAGUAUUGUGCUGCAGGGAGAGGGUUAGUGUUAGUCAGUUGCAGACGUAUAUUUAUUCUAAACUAAAUAUUGAAAUGAGAUUGAGUAAAUUAUUUAUCAUAACAAUAACGUAGAUAUUAAUACUUCGAUAAUGUAACGUCUAAGGAUGUAAAUCCCUGAUUACUGAGAUGUUUUGUAGGAUAGAGAUAAUUGAAAUGGUGAUUAACUUAAUCCAUGGACGAGUAGAAUGAGACUAGGUAACAUGAGUACAAGGCCUGACUUAACGGGAGUAGAAUCAGACUAGGUAACAUGAGUACAAGGCCUGACUUAACGGGAGUAGAAUCAGACUAGGUAACAUGAGUACAAGGCCUGACUUAACGGGAGUAGAAUGAGACUAGGUAACAUGAGUACAAGGCCUGACUUAACGGGAGUAGAAUGAGACUAGGUAACAUGAGUACAAGGCCUGACUUAACGGGAGUAGAUUGAUUCAAGCUGUUAACAGGUAUGUAAUCAAUCCAAAGUAUACAAGAAUCCAGAGAGAAAAACUAUAGUUUGAAUUGGACCUGGAGUGAAUUACUUGAUCUAAUGGUUCAACUGAAUAGAAAAACAAAACGGGUAAAAGUAAUAACAGUCGUUAUAACAGUAUAGGAUUUUUGUAUUGUAUCUCAAUAGCUAUUAAAAACUAAGUUAAUAAUGGUAUAAAAUAUGUUUUAUUUCUGGUAAGUUGACUAUCUAUAAAAGUCGCCAUUCAGUAAAACAUUAUCUCUAAUCAAGUUCUAUUUAUUCUGUGAUCAAUGCAUGGCUGCAUAUCCCAUUCAUCAAUAGCAACGACAACAAAAUCAAUUUCUACCAGCCUAAACCAAAAAAUCGUUCACUCUCUCCAAUAAACAACAUUAACUCUGUAUCAAUCACACACCCCUCCCCCCCUUUUUUCUCUGUUCUUUACCACUGAAACAAUUCUCUGAAUGAGUAAAACACUCAUACACGCAUUUUUAAUCACAAAUUCUAAUCAAUAUUGUCGAUUUUAUAAUGGAAGACAACUGAAAAUUUUGAUUGGUUAUUGUUUGUUUUCUCAGCAGACGAUAAAAAGUCCAUAUAACUUUUUUUUUUAAAUUGAAGCCAAUAA
rnacentral:sRNA from 1 species